rnacentral:rRNA from 1 species
UACGUAGGGUCCGAGCGUUGUCCGGAAUUAUUGGGCGUAAAGAGCUCGUAGGCGGUUUGUCGCGUCUGGUGUGAAAUCCCGAGGCUCAACCUCGGGCCUGCAGUGGGUACGGGCAGACUGGAGUGCGGUAGGGGAGAAUGGAAUUCCUGGUGUAGCGGUGGAAUGCGCAGAUAUCAGGAGGAACACCGAUGGCGAAGGCAGUUCUCUGGGCCGUAACUGACGCUGAGGAGCGAAAGCGUGGGGAGCGAACAGG